GACGAACGCUGGCGGUGUGCUUAACACAUGCAAGUCGAACGAUGAGCCCGGAGCUUGCUCCGGUGGAUUAGUGGCGAACGGGUGAGUAACACGUGAGUAACCUGCCCUUGACUCUGGGAUAACUGCGGGAAACUGUAGCUAAUACCGGAUACGACCCUCGGCGGCAUCGCCAGGGGGUGGAAAGAAUUUCGGUCAAGGAUGGACUCGCGGCCUAUCAGCUAGUUGGUGAGGUAACGGCUCACCAAGGCGACGACGGGUAGCCGGCCUGAGAGGGUGACCGGCCACACUGGGACUGAGACACGGCCCAGACUCCUACGGGAGGCAGCAGUGGGGAAUAUUGCACAAUGGGCGCAAGCCUGAUGCAGCAACGCCGCGUGAGGGAUGACGGCCUUCGGGUUGUAAACCUCUUUUAGUAGGGAAGAAGCGAAAGUGACGGUACCUGCAGAAAAAGCACCGGCUAACUACGUGCCAGCAGCCGCAGUAACAC
rnacentral:rRNA from 1 species